CUUUGGGCUACGUGACGUAAAGCAUCACAAUGGGGCCCUGCUCUUUCAGUGAGUUGUAGACGCACUGUGGGAGUUACGUCAGCAUUGUGUCAUUCCAUUCUUGUCUUGGAGGUACUGUUAAAGCAGAGCACCAAGAAUAACUUAUUUAUUCUGGUUUCUUCAUAUUUCAAACGUGCAAACAGAUUUGAGUUGGCAGUGCCAGGAGGUCCUGGCAUUGGGUAGUUUUGGGUUGCUAUUUUAAUUUUCUUUCUUUUCUGUGCAGAUCUGCUUGCCCCACGAGACAGGCUAUUCGUUCUGCAACUGAACAUUACUAGGUCCACCUCGCUCCUGGAGCAGCGAAGCGAGCAGCAUCCGCAGGCGCACGCUCAUGUCGGGCCACAGGUGCCAGUUGUGAGCAACGUAGGCGACACAGUGCCGCAGCCUUGCCGGUGGCAUGAAGGCUCCGUGUUGUCUCCGUGCAGCCGGAUGCUCCACUUUGAAAAUCGGUUGGCCAGGAUGUCUAGCAGGAUCCUGAGCAGCGUGCUGACUGGAAGUGGCAAAGAUGGCGACGAUCUCCCCACCAUGGACUUCGAACGAGAAAUCCAUCGAUCGGAA